rnacentral:rRNA from 1 species
GAGUUUGAUCUUGGCUCAGGAUGAACGCUGGCGGCGUGCUUAACACAUGCAAGUCGAACGAGGAAUUUUAAAUGAGACUUCGGUGGAUUUUAAAAUUCUUAGUGGCGGACGGGUGAGUAACGCGUGGGCAACCUGCCCUGUACAGGGGGGACAACAGCUGGAAACGGCUGCUAAUACCGCAUAAGACCACGGAGCCGCAUGGCUCAGUGGGAAAAACUCCGGUGGUACAGGAUGGGCCCGCGUUGGAUUAGGUAGUUGGUGAGGUAACGGCCCACCAAGCCGACGAUCCAUAGCCGACCUGAGAGGGUGACCGGCCACGUUGGGACUGAGACACGGCCCAAACUCCUACGGGAGGCAGCAGUGGGGAAUCUUCCGCAAUGGGCGAAAGCCUGACGGAGCAACGCCGCGUGAGUGAAGAAUUAUUUCGGUAUGUAAAGCUCUAUCAGCAGGGAAGAAAAUGACGGUACCUGACUAAGAAGCCCCGGCUAACUACGUGCCAGCAGCCGCCG